AUGAGGAAGAUGCUCGCCCGUGUCCCGCGUGUUGGCAGGUGCUGCUCAGAAGCCAGCAAGCAGAGUGCUAGUAGCUUCCCCUAAUUUUGCAAAUGAUGCUAUAUUUGACAUUAAGAAAUGUGACCUUCAUCGGCUAGAAGAGAGCCCUCCAGUCACCACAGUGCUCACCAGAGAGGAUAGGCUCAAGUACUACAGGAUGAUGCAGACUGUGCGGCGAAUGGAGCUAAAGGCAGAUCAGCUGUAUAAACAGAAGAUUAUUUGUGGUUUCUUUCUCUUGUGUGAUGGUCAGGAAGCCACUGUGUGGGCCUCGAGGCUGGCAUAAACCUCACUGACCAUCUCAUCACAGCCAAUCGAGCGCAUGACUUCACCUUCACUCGGGGCCUGACUGUCUGAGCAAUUCUUUCAGAGCUAACAGGAAAAAGAGGAGGUUGUGCUAAAGGGAAAGGCGGAUCGAUGCACAUGUACGCCAAGAACUUCUAUGGGGUCAAUGGCAUCGUUGGAGCUCAGGUGCCCCUAGGAGCAGGGAUUGCUCUGGCCUUCAAGUAUAAUGGAAAAGAUGAGGUCUGUUUGACUUUAUAUGGUGUUGGUGCUGCUAAUCAGGGUCAAAUAUGUGAAGCUUACAAUAUGGCAGCAUUGUGGAAAUUACCUUGUAUUUUCAUCUGUGAAAAUAACUGCUAUGGCAUGGGGACAUCUGAUGAGAGAGCAGCGGCCAGCACAGAUUACUACGAAAGAGGAGAUUUUAUUCCUGGACUGAGGGUAGAUGGAAUGGAUAUCUUGUAUGUCUGAGAGGCAACAAAGUUUGCAGCUGCCUAUUGUAGGUCUUGGUAGGGGCCCAUUCUGAUGGAACUACAGACUUAUUGUUACCAUGGACAUAGUAUGAGCAACCCUGGAGUCAGUUACCGCACUCGAGAAGAAAUCCAGGAAGAAGUAAGAGCGACUCUAUUACGCUUCUUAAGGAUAGGAUGAUGAACAGCAAUAUUGUGAGUGUUGCAGAAUUAAAGAUUGAUGUGGAAGUGAGGAAAGAAAUUGAGAAUGCUGCCCAGUUUGCUACAGCUGAUCCAGAGCCACCCUUGGAGGAACUAGGCUAUCACAUCUACAGCAGUGAUGCUCCCUUUGAAGUGCGUGGUACCAACCAC